UUAAAAAGCUCGUAGUUGAAUUUCGGGAUCGAAUUGUUGGUCGUGCCUCGGUACGCACUGGCAUUAUCGGUUCCUACCUUCUGAAGAACCGCGAUGUCAUUAAUUUGGUGUCGUGGGGAAUCAGGACUGUUACUUUGAAAAAAUUAGAGUGUUUAAAGCAGGCUUACGCUUGAAUACAUUAGCAUGGAAUAAUGAAAUAGGACGUUUGAUUCUAUUUUGUUGGUUUCUAGGAUCGACGUAAUGAUUAAUAGGGAUAGUUGGGGG
rnacentral:rRNA from 1 species